AUUUGAGGAUACAGUACUCUCCCCUCAUCUGUGCUGUCACUUUUCGUGGUUUCAGUUACCUUCAGUCAACCAUGGUCUGAAAAUAGGUUGGUUCAUUAACGGAAAUAUUAACAGCAACUUAUAUGUACUUCUCCACUUGUUGCUCCAAGAGAUUUACAGCCUCUUUUUCUGUCUUCAGAUACUACUUUGAAAACAAGAUGAAAGCCAUGGAAUCUCCCGAGAAAAAUGUACAUCUUACAGACUUUCAGUGAGUUCUGGAAUACCAGGAACCAGAGCCCACACUAAUGAACAGCAGUUUCCUAACCUAAUGCGAGAGAUUUGAGAUUUCUUCUGGCUCCCAUGAUCUUCUAAUUGUCUUCUUAGCAAGACUAAACACAUCUCCAAGAAAUGUGCACUGCCAUGAAUGUCUUCCAGCUAUCUUCUAUGACAGCACUUCCCAGUGUGUUCUGUGGAAUAAUGGUACAGGGUGAUAUUCUAUGAAGAAAAAUACGGAAAGUAAUAUACUCCACAGUCCGUAUAUUAGAUCGGACUAAUAAAAAUAAAUAUGGAAAGUAAUAUAUUCCACAGUCAUAUAUUAGAUCGCCUACACAACAGCAAUUUGAUAUAGUUUAAUAGGAUUUGAAUGAAUAAAAUUAAUGCCCACAGCUA